UGGAUUCUGUUUCCCACCAUGUAUCCAGCACCUAGCAUGGUUUCCAGCACGGAGCAUGCACUUAGCAAGUAUUUGCCCAACAUUAAGAGGCCAUCUACCAUGGAGUGAAGAAGCUCAAGUAACCUGUGAAAAGGACCAUGUAAAGAGAAAUCAAGACACUUGGUCUGCAGUCCUGGCUGUGGACCAAGUGCUGCCCAUGCAUGUGAGCCAUUUUAAAAGUGGAUUCUCCAUCUCCUAUUUAAUGCACCAUGGAGCAGAGAUGAGCUGUUCCCAACUGGCUUCCAAAAUUAUACAUUUUUGAGCACAAGUGAUUUUUUUUUUUUUGUUUUAAGGCACUAAACUGUGGAGUGGUGUCAUGAAGCAUUAGAUAACCAAUCCAUUUUGUUUAUAGAUCAUAGAUCACAAAAUUUUGAACUUUAAAUCUUAUACAUUAUAUUAUUAUCCUUGUUUCAGAGAUGAGAAAUGAAUAAUUCAGAGUUCAAGUAGAUUUAAGAUAUGCUACUUCUGUGUUUAUCUAGCUGGAGGAAAUAGUUGGAAGGAAAGACCCCUGGAUUUGAAAUGACAAGAUAUGGGCUUGAGGUUUACUUCUGCUACUUACUAGCUUAGGUGAACUUGGGCAAGAGUCUUAAUUUCUCUGAACCCAGUUUAUUUUCCUUUUAAAUGGUAAUAAAAAUAACAGACCUAUA